AUGUGGUGCUGAGGAUCGAACCCGGGCCGCACGCCUGCCAGGUCCUUUUAUCUACUGUACAUCUUUGAAGAUUGUGAACUGUGGCUUUAAUAAACUUUCUGAUUGCUACAUCAUUUCUAUUU